GACGAACGCUGGCGGCGUGCUUAACACAUGCAAGUCGAACGGAAAGGCCCUGCUUUUGUGGGGUGCUCGAGUGGCGAACGGGUGAGUAACACGUGAGUAACCUGCCCUUGACUUUGGGAUAACUUCAGGAAACUGGGGCUAAUACCGGAUAGGAGCUCCUGCUGCAUGGUGGGGGUUGGAAAGUUUCGGCGGUUGGGGAUGGACUCGCGGCUUAUCAGCUUGUUGGUGGGGUAGUGGCUUACCAAGGCUUUGACGGGUAGCCGGCCUGAGAGGGUGAGCGGCCACAUGGGGACUGAGAUACGGCCCAGAGUCCUGCGGGAGGCAGCAGUGGGGAAUAUUGCGCAAUGGGCGGAAGCCUGAUGCAGGAACGCCGCGUGCGGGAUGACGGCCUUCGGGUUGUAAACCGCUUUCGCCUGUGGCGAAGCGUGAGUGACGGUAAUGGGUAAAGAAGCACCGGCUAACUACGUG
rnacentral:rRNA from 1 species